UACGAAGGGUGCAAGCGUUGCUCGGAAUUAUUGGGCGUAAAGCGAGCGCGGAUGGUCUUGUAAGUCAGGAGUGAAAGCCCUGGGCUCAACUCCAGAACUGCCCUUGAUACUGGCGGUCUCGAGUCCGGGAGAGGUGAGUGGAACUGCGAGUGUAGAGGUGAAAUUCGUAGAUAUUCGCAAGAACACCAGUGGCGAAGGCGGCUCACUGGCCCGGUACUGACGCUGAGGUGCGAAAGCGUGGGGAGCAAACAGG
rnacentral:rRNA from 1 species